UACGGAGGGUGCAAGCGUUAUCCGGAUUUACUGGGUUUAAAGGGUGCGUAGGUGGGCAGGUAAGUCAGUGGUGAAAUCUCCGAGCUUAACUCGGAAACUGCCAUUGAUACUAUCUGUCUUGAAUUAUCUGGAGGUAAGCGGAAUAUGUCAUGUAGCGGUGAAAUGCUUAGAUAUGACAUAGAACACCAAUUGCGAAGGCAGCUUACUACGGAUAUAUUGACACUGAGGCACGAAAGCGUGGGGAUCAAACAGG
rnacentral:rRNA from 2 species